UUGAACGCUGGCGGCAUGCUUUACACCUGCAAGUCGAACGGCAGCGCGGGCUUCGGCCUGGCGGCGAGUGGCGAACGGGUGAGUAAUACAUCGGAACGUGCCCAGUAGUGGGGGAUAGCUCGGCGAAAGCCGGAUUAAUACCGCAUACGACCUGAGGGUGAAAGCGGGGGAUCUUCGGACCUCGCGCUAUUGGAGCGGCCGAUGGCAGAUUAGCUAGUUGGUGGGGUAAAGGCCUACCAAGGCGACGAUCUGUAGCUGGUCUGAGAGGACGACCAGCCACACUGGGACUGAGACACGGCCCAGACUCCUACGGGAGGCAGCAGUGGGGAAUUUUGGACAAUGGGCGAAAGCCUGAUCCAGCAAUGCCGCGUGUGUGAUGAAGGCCUUCGGGUUGUAAAGCACUUUCGGCGGGAACGAAAAGGACUGUGCCAAUACCACGGUUCGAUGACGGUACCCGCAGAAUAAGCACCGGCUAACUACGUG
rnacentral:rRNA from 1 species